GGCGAACGGGUGAGUAACACGUGGGCAACCUGCCCCUAGCUCUGGGAUAACACCGGGAAACCGGUGCUAAUACCGCAUAAUCCCGAGAGGGGAAAGCCGCAAGGCGCUGAAAGAGGAGUCCGCGGUCGAUUAGCUAGUUGGUAAGGUAAUGGCUUACCAAGGCUGUGAUCGAUAGCCGGCCUGAGAGGGCACACGGCCACACUGGCACUGAAACACGGGCCAGACUCCUACGGGAGGCAGCAGUGGGGAAUCUUGCACAAUGGGGGCAACCCUGAUGCAGCGACGCCGCGUGAGCGAUGAAGGCCUUCGGGUUGUAAAGCUCUUUCGGCAGGGAAGAUUAUGACGGUACCUGCAGAAGCAGCUGCGGCUAACUACGUGCCAGCAGCCGCGGUAAUACGUAGGCAGCAAGCGUUGUUCGGAGUUACUGGGCGUAAAGGGUGCGUAGGCGGUCCUAUAAGUAUGGUGUGAAAUCUCCCGGCU
rnacentral:rRNA from 1 species